AAUGAACGCUGGCGGCGUGCUUAACACAUGCAAGUCGGACGAGAAAGGCUGAUUUCGGUUGGCCGAGUAAAGUGGCGCACGGGUGAGUAACGCGUAGGCAACCUACCCUUGUAUUGGGGAUAACCCUGCGAAAGUGGGGCUAAUACCGGAUGAGACCCUAUUCUGGAGGGGAUAGGGUGAAAGUCGGCCGCUCGGAGAAGCUGACGUACGAGGAUGGGCCUGCGUCCUAUCAGCUGGUUGGUGGGGUAGCGGCCUACCAAGGCGACGACGGGUAGCUGGUCUGAGAGGAUGAUCAGCCACACUGGCACUGGAACACGGGCCAGACUCCUACGGGAGGCAGCAGUGAGGAAUUUUGCGCAAUGGCCGCAAGGCUGACGCAGCAACGCCGCGUGGGUGAUGAAGGCCUUCGGGUCGUAAAGCCCUGUCAGGUGGGAAGAAGGCCUUAAGGAGAAAGACUUGAGGUUUGACGGUACCACCAGAGGAAGCACCGGCUAACUCCGUGCC
rnacentral:rRNA from 1 species